UACAAGCACGAACGUAUACGUUUUGCAGUUUCGUGACGUUUUCUUCUCCAAUUGAUUCAGAGCAAAUUAACCGUCAUUUAACGAGCCGUUUGUUCCUACUUAAUCCUCACACCCUCCUCUCCAUUUCCCCUCAAACCACACAGAUCGAGAGUCCCCAGGCUGCUCAAAUUCGAGGUCGCAAUUCUGCGGUACCGCUGCAGUAUAUCGUCGAUUCCGCGACGGCUGCAAUUUCAUCUAUGAGCGCCGUCCGCGGAAAGAAUUUUUGGCGAGCGAUUCCGGCGAGAAACUCCGGCGAACCAGUGCGCCUCGAUGUCCACGUUUUCUUCACCAUCUCUUCCCGACGACGCACUUCAUCUGAUUGUGGUUGUGCUGAUUGCAACGAGUGUUUCUGCGAAGAGUGUACCAACUCCUCCUCUCACCAAGGCAAGUGACACACCAAUCACAAAUGUCCCAGUUUUAUAAAUGCACUGUAGUAUUUUUUUGUAGUAUACAUGUGUAGGGUUUUAUGCUUGCUAUGCAAUCCCAGUAGUCUAGAUACCCCUACUUGACUUUCUCUGUUGCCAUUAAAUUUAGU